CUAUCCUUCCUCAUAAUGCUCACGGCCUGGGCCAUUUGGAGGCAUCAGAAGUGAUGCAUCUUCGAUGACCAACAACCAUCAGUCUCUCGGCUCAUCUACGAGAUCAAGGAUGAGGCGCGGUUAUGGGCCAAAACCGGCACCACGUCAAUGACUAACCUACUUCUCGAGAUGUAG
rnacentral:rRNA from 1 species